rnacentral:rRNA from 1 species
GAACGAUGAUGCCCAGCUCUGCUGGGCGGAUUAGUGGCGAACGGGUGAGUAAUACGUGAGUAACCUGCCCUUGACUCUGGGAUAAGCCUGGGAAACUGGGUCUAAUACUGGAUACUACCUCUUGCCGCAUGGUGGGUGGUGGAAAGGGUUUUACUGGUUUUGGAUGGGCUCACGGCCUAUCAGCUUGUUGGUGGGGUAAUGGCUCACCAAGGCGACGACGGGUAGCCGGCCUGAGAGGGUGACCGGCCACACUGGGACUGAGACACGGCCCAGACUCCUACGGGAGGCAGCAGUGGGGAAUAUUGCACAAUGGGCGGAAGCCUGAUGCAGCGACGCCGCGUGAGGGAUGACGGCCUUCGGGUUGUAAACCUCUUUCAGUAGGGAAGAAGCGAGAGUGACGGUACCUGCAGAAGAAGCGCCGGCUAACUACGUGCCAGC